GCCCCGGUGGCUCAUUGGUCUAAGCGCCGCACCAUAACCGCAGUGACCUGGGUUCGAUCCCCACUCGGGUCA